UACAAAAAAAAACCUGAACCAUUUCUGUUUACCAAAUUUACCACUCUAUCCGAUGCAGACUACAUUUCUUUAUUUUGGUGCUAUUCGCCUCUUUAACUUACACACACUGGCUUUACCACUUUUAAUGUUAUCUUACAUUUGGCUAAUAGUGCACUCUCUGCAGCUUUAUUAUUUUGGGAAAAUACAAUUAUCAGUAUUCAUAAUUAUUAUUAUUAUUAUUAGUGCCUCUGGGUCUCUAUACUUUGUGGCACAUGGUAUUUUUUUUUUUACAUAAAAGAGGAAAAAGGGUGAAUUGUGCAGCCCCAAGCAUAGAAGUUUACAGCUUUUACCUUGAUCUCACAAAGCAAGGGAACUGAUAUUUAUACGGUCAGUGUUGUGGUGUCCAGUCUGAGUCAUGUACUGUAUUUCAGUUUUGUUUUCAAUAAAAGUUUCUUUUGAAAUUUGAGCCUCAAUUGAUAGUUUAUUUUUCAGCAUAUUUGAAAUAAAAAUAAAAAAAAACAAAAAGUAAAAAGAAUACUACACAUAUACUUACAAGAUUCCCGCCAUCGUUCCUAUAGAAAAAUGCCAAACAAGAAUAACAUGUAUACAGCUGUCCACUUCACCACAACACAAAAAAAACACUCAAAUGUAAUCUGUGAACAAACCAAUUUAAAAACCGGACCAUUCAUUGUAUUUUCUGACUUUUAACGUCUCACAUUAAAAGCCUUGUUGGGGGUCGAGAGGCAUCGCCAUGGCAACACCCGUCAUCUGGUCCUGCAUGAUCCGUGACUGGUCAGCAGCUACGACUGAAUAACAACAUCAAUGAAAUCAAACGGACCAACUUUCAUGUCUGAACUGACUCGGUGUGAUGUAAAACAGCACUUGAAGGUUUUGUCAGACUCUUAGCAACGUCUUCAUUUACAUUUUUACAAAAAGCAGCGAUUACAAAUAAAAUGUUUCCAACAAAUGGGAGACAAUCUCAGUUAACUUACACAUGUACUUACCUGCUUGGGCCAGGAUUCCUGCCAUCUCUCCACUAGAAAGAAAACGCUAAACAAGGUGAUUUUAGUGAUUAUUUACCGUUUUCAAAGAUAAGAACCAAAGCUAAGUAUGAUUCAAACAGUUUAUUCACAUCUGUAAUAUAUCUGCCAAUCAAACGAAGCACAGAGCAGUCAAGAAAAAGACACAACUCCUAACCACUUUUAAGGAACGUAAAAGGAGCUUUUCUAAAAAACAAUGUACAACAUGUCAGCCAUUUUACUGUAAUGUUUUUUCCUCUAAAUUGUACUAUACAUUCACUUUCAAUGAAGCCUUUGCACUGAGGUAAUGAGCAAAGAAAAACACUGGCAAGACAAGACGUUUAGAAACGGGGGGUUAACUGGGAAUAGAUUAAGGGGAGAGUG